CAAUCGUGAAUUAGCUGUGUCAUCGUCAGCGCUCAUGCAGCUGCUCUCGUAUAGCUAUCGCGGUACUUUGAUGCCAUACGUUAAAGUGAUGUGGCGUCGGCACGGUCUCAAGUCGGACAAAAAUUCUAACCGGUAUGCACUGCUUCAAGUCAACCACCGGUCUGUGCAGGACCGCAUGAAGUUUAACACACUUAAUGGGACACCUGCAAAUGGCAGGGUAAGGCUGCAUCCUACUUACCUCGUAAGUGAUCGAUUCGUAGCAGUAGAAAAAUAUGGAGGCCUCCAUCGUUUGUCUUCUUCUCUUAGCAACGAGCUAGCCAGCUAGCUAAGGAAUGUGAUGUAUAGUUUCCUCCUCAAAACAACGAACUUGGAAGUGUUCACCAUAAACUUCACUGUCUGUUCCCUUGUUAACACUUUCUCCACUUUGUUCCUCUGUUAACUCUUCCCAACCAGGUACAGACAGAUAAAUUUGCUUGCAUUCCACGACUUCCUGAAUAAAAUAUAUGGAGUUGUUCCUCUUACAUUGAUAUGCUUCCUGUUAAAUGCAAAUAUGCACGUCCACCUACCCAAUCAAUAGUUAGCCCAACAACUUUUUCAGAACAGCCACAAUAUUCAAGUCUUCAGGACAGAGGAGUUUGUGCUUUCUGGUUUCUCUGUAAGAUGACAAGCUGUGUUUUUUUUUUGUUUGUUUGUUUGUUUGUUUGUUUGUUUGUUUGUUGGUUUGAGUGGUUAAAAAAAUCUCCAAACAUCACAGCUCAAGAAUUGCAGAAGUUAGUUGCAUCUUGGGGUCAGAAAGUCUCCAAAACUACUAUCAAAAGUUACCUACAUUACCACAAGUUGUUUGGAAGGGUUUCAAGAAAAAAGUCUCUACUUUCAUUCAAAAACAAACUCAAGCGUCUUCAGUUUGCCAGACACUACUGGAACUUCAAAUGGGAUCUGGUUCUCACCCCAUGGUUGGAUGUUCCAGCAGGACAAUGAUCCAAAACAUGCAUCAAAUUCAACACAAAAAUGGUUUACUGACCACAAAAUCAAGGUCCUGCCAUGGUCAUCCCAGUGCCCUGACUUGAAACCCAUAGAAAACCUGUAGGUGAACUGAAGAAGAGAGUGCACCAGUGUGGACCUUGAAAUUUGAAGGAUCUGGAGAGAUUCUGUAUGGAAGAAUGGUCUCAGAUCCCUUGCCAUGUAUUCUCCAUCCUCAUCAGGUAUUAUAGGAGAAGACUCAGAGCUGUUAUCUUUCAAAGGGAGGUAGCACAAAGUAUUGACUAAAAGGGUGGAAAUAAUUGUGGCAGACAUAUAUUUAACAAAGUUUUUUUUGUUGUUUUUUUGGCUAAACUUGUGACGUGUUUGCAAUCAUGGAUAUGUGUUUGAUAUCCAUGAGAGCAGAGUAUUUUUGUGAUUUUCUUUUAAACAAAAGAUAAAAAAUUUAAACAAUAAAGACAAUUUUUCACAGCCUUCUUUGCUUUACCAAGGGUGCCAAUAUUAGUGGAGGGCAAUGUAUAUGCUUUUCAUUGUUAUUUAACAACACAUUUAAUCUGCGUAUUAAUAGGCUUAGAUUAUGCAGAGCUUUAACCAUACGUCACUGUAUAUGAGACUAUAGGACUGACAUGGGUUAGAAUGAGCAUAUUAAUAUAAUAUUAUUUGUUGCAGUUGUAAAGAAAAUUAAUCAGAAGCUUCUGAUCUGAGAAUUCAACUGUCCUAAGGUAUAAUUAUUGUACCCAACAUGCAAUCUUGUUAAAAGAAAAAUUAAUUGACUUUAUUUCUAUGGUGAUGUGCUCAUGCCACUUGUAUGAGUAGCAAAAUUCCAGCUCCCAAAUGUAAAAUGCCUUCCUGCAUUCCUGCCCCAUAUUCGUAGUCUUCCACCGAGCACUUUCAUUUUCUUCUACCACAUGUAAAUAAUUCUGAUUUGCUAGUCAGUGUGAGUGAACGUGUAUGUAUAUGUGAUACCCUGAUCGGAACUGGUAUCAUAUUCUGGAUGGACCUCUGCCUACUGCUUCCAUGAUCAUGACUCUGAAUUGAAUGUUUCUUUUUUGGGGGUUUUUUGUUUGUUUUUCCUAAACUUUCCUGUAACUUCCUUAAGUUACUUUCCCAGUAGCUAAGUAUUAGACUCACUGAUUGGGAAAUGAAGUAAAUAAGUGCAUCCCCAUUUGGUUGUGGUUUUAACAGAAGCAAAAGCCACAUGGUUACAGAAGGCCCUUCCAGUCAUGCCAGAUCUAUGGUCACUUCCCAUAAACAUUGGUCUGAAGUGGGUGGGGUGAUAAUGUCGGCGUCUGCCAUAUUGAACUUGUGAUUACUGUCAAAAUUGAGUUGUAGUUUCUUGUUGUCAACUGAUAUUGACAUAUCUUGAUAUUUGGAAAGUACUGGGUAUAUAUGGCACUACACAACCCUGAAUAAACUUCCAUGUAAAAUCCCCUGAUCAUAGCAAACAUUGCUGCUUCUGAUGCGAACAAUGGGGAAUACCACAGAGUCAGUUUUAGUUUCAGUUCUUCUCUCUCUCUCUCUCUCUGUCAGGAUAGUAUGAUUCAGUUCUAAGAUUUACCCUCAUUAAUCACUGAGCUGUAAAUCUUAUGACCUCGUUAAUGCUAAUGAAUUUGUCCUUGCUUUUCAUUGUUACUGCAUUGUUAUAAGAUUACAAUGAAUUAACAUAUGCAUUACCUGUCUGGUUAUGAAACCCACUGGCAGUAGCACUGAGUGCCAGUUAGUAAGACUUCAAAGAGCUUUUUUUUAGAAAAGCAAAUUUAACAAAUUCAAAUCUUUUUAGUUUUGAAAUUAGUUCACAAUUAUUUUUCACAAUUUAGCUCAAUUAAAGUGACAAAUUUUUCUCACAAUUGUCUUUUCUAUUACUGUUUACCAUGGAACACUGGGUAGAAUUGUGACCUAACAGCUCCAGGGUCCCUGAUUCCGUGAGCUUUGUUUACUGUGUGGAGAUGUGCAUGUUGUCCAUAUGGGUUUCCCAGAUUCCCCAGUUUCCUCUCAAAACAUUCAGGUAGGAGGACUGGCUAAGCUAAAUUGCCCAUAGAUGGCAAGCUGCAUGUUAACUGCCCUUGUGUUUUAUGGUAAUCUGUUGUUAGCUACACUAUAAAAAAUUAUCCUGUAAACUUACAGUUGCUAUCUUACUGAUAGUUUGCUAGUAUGGUACUGUAAUCAAUAUUUAUGGAAUUCAUGCUGCAGUGUUUUUGUUUUCUGUAAUGGCACACUGUACAGUAUUUUAAAAGUGCACAACUUGUGUAAGAAUAAUAUGUAAUACACAUAUUAAACAUGUUCAAUGCAUCAUGCUCAAGAUGCACAUAUGGAUCAAUAAGAGACAGCAUUGGCUGUGCCAGGAAGAUGAC
ensembl:lncRNA